UACGUAGGGUGCAAGCGUUGUCCGGAAUUACUGGGCGUAAAGCGUGCGCAGGCGGUCCGCAAAGUCUGAUGUGAAAGCCCCGGGCUCAACCUGGGAACUGCAUUGGAAACUAACGGGCUCGAGUGUGGCAGAGGGGGGUGGAAUUCCACGUGUAGCAGUGAAAUGCGUAGAGAUGUGGAGGAACACCGAUGGCGAAGGCAGCCCCCUGGGCUAACACUGACGCUCAGGCACGAAAGCGUGGGGAGCAAACAGG
rnacentral:rRNA from 1 species